GCCCGCUCGGAUCGAGACUGACCGGCCAGCGUCCCGGAGAGGCAGACCCCGCCCGGGAGAGGCAGAGUCCUUAGGGUUCUUUUUGGGGGGAUCGUCUAGCCCCUGUAGGUUUCCCAGGAACACCAGAACUGUGUUUAAAACUACAGUUGCACUUUUUCUUUUCUUGAGACAGGGUCUCCCUAUGUGGCGCAGGCUGGCCUUAAACUCGUGGCCAUCCUCCUGCCUCAGCCUCCCAAGGACUGGCCACCCGCCCGGGCAGCAGUUGCAGUUUUGACCAGGCCACUUUCAUCUGGCUGGUAGAAGUCUUCUACCUUCGGUGACCCUGGCCCCUACCUUGGAUGGGCAGCGAUGCAAGAGCGGUCGGAGGAGCUGUGGCACCAGGUCCUGGCAGCCCCAGUGCUGACCGGAUGACUGCCUACCUGCCCAGGUCCUGGUGUUUCGAGUCCAGCCCUGGAUCUACUCCCCGACCUUCCCCGCGGAAGGUUUCGCCGCAAAGAUUUCUCCUUCAGCCGUUGUCACUGGGGUGUCAUCCACGACGACAGCCACCGACGCGGCCACUCAGGGACCACAUCCCGGAAGGCCGGGCCCUCAUCCACCGGCUCACCCCAUCCUGUCUCGGUUCCACCCUGGCACCAGGGCCUGAGUCGGGGCGCAGCGUGGGGAGAACCCCAAGGCCUGGGGACCCGAGUGGGCCCGGCUCGGAAGCCAUCCCGAGAGCUGGGGUUCAGCGCCGGCCAAGACUGAGGGUGCGAGCCGGGCCAGGGGACCGGAGGACAGGAGGACCGGCGACAUCCCCAUCCAGCGGAGCUCGGGGCUCCGGGCCUCCGCCACCUCUGGACACCACCACCAGCCGCUCCUCAGGCGCAGGUUCUGGGUUCUGCUCGCUGCCUCAGCGUCC
rnacentral:lncRNA from 1 species